CUUGUGUCAUGGUCACAUGUGUUCUGUCAAGCUCCAAGAGAAAAUCAGUUCCUAACACAGACCCACGAUACGAUGGAGGGACUAUGUCUCUCACCUGGUCUGGGAACGCCUCGGUGUCUCUCCAGAUGAACUGGUGGAAGUAGCCGGGAGAAAAUGGUCUGCUUUUCCCUGAUGAGUCUGUUGCCCCCGAGACCUGGACCCGGAUAAGCGGUACAAACAAGACGAGAUGACGGAAUGGGGGGCUCAUUGUGGAUCCUUCUCUAAGCUGGCGAUGGAGACGUUCCCUUCAGGGGUCGCCACAGCGAAUCAUCUGCUUCCAUCUCCAUUAUCUUCCUUCACACCAUCUACCUUCAUGUCCUCCUUCACUACAUCCACAAACCUCCUCUUUGGUUUUCCUCUAUACUUC